AAAUUCUCUUCUUUUACUCUCCUCCUCUUUCUUCUCCAAUAUAUGGAAGAGUUCAUAUCAGUUUUCACUACAUGCCAAAGAGUAAGGCAUAUACGUUUCUUCAAGGUGAAAUGAGGAAUUAAAAGUUCUAGCAUUCAUUUUUCACUUUUCUUUUUUUUUUGGCCAAGAAUAGAGAUUUCAUUGAUAGAAUUAGAACAUUAAUGAAAAUAAAACUCGAAAAGUAAUAUACAUCAAUCUGCUUAUAAAUCUAUACUCUACUAAAAUUGAAGAAGCAAAAUAUGCAUAGGUAACAAAAUCCAAGAGACCUCUCACAAAGAUUUGGAGGGUAUAAAUACAGAUUUUUUUUUUUAAAUCUAUCUUUGCAUACGGAGAUAUUAUGGACGGGUGACGGGGUGAGAAUCGUAUUCAAAUCCGAGCACCGGACUAAAAGUUCUCUAUCAUCCAUAAAACUGGUGAUGUCAAAAAAGUUCAUGGUUGCUUCAGAAUCAACUUAUCUACCGGAUUGACUAAAGCAAAAGUCUUUAAAAUUUUGUGUAAAUAACUUUUCUCCUAAAUUGUAA
rnacentral:misc_RNA from 1 species